CUUGCCAAAGAUGAGGCCAUUACGGCUCGCCUUUCGGUGUCCUCCUCGGGAUAACGUCAUUUAAAGAACAAGAGUCAGCACAACGUGAAAAAAAAAAACUAAAAAAAAACGGAAAAAAACUAUGGAAAAAAAACCGGAGAAGCUUGCCAAAGAUGAGGCCAUUACGGCUGGCCUUUAGGUGUCCUCCUCGGGAUAACGUCAUUUAAAGAACAAGAGUCAGC
rnacentral:lncRNA from 1 species